GACAGAGGGUGCAAACGUUGUUCGGAAUUACUGGGCGUAAAGCGCGUGUAGGCGGCCAUCUAAGUCGGGCGUGAAAUCCCACGGCUCAACCGUGGAAGUGCACUCGAAACUGGAUGGCUAGAGCCCUGGAGAGGAAGGUGGAAUGCUUGGUGUAGAGGUGAAACUCGUAGAUAUCAAGCGGAACACCGGUGGCGAAGGCGGCCUUCUGGACAGUGACUGACGCUGAGACGCGAAAGCGUGGGGAGCAAACAGG
rnacentral:rRNA from 1 species